UAACAAAACACUUAACGUCUUUUCCCUCGGGAAAUAGUUAGUUUUGUUUUCCCUCGAAUCUCAAUGUUUCCCUCGACUUCGUUGUUUCCCUCAAGAACAUUGAGAUUCUCGGGAAAACAAAACUAACUAUUUCCCUCGGGUGCAGACAUUAAGUGUAUAAUAACAUUUAAAUGCGCAAUGCUUGAAUGUUUUUGUUAAGUUACCGCUUUGACUAUGUGGUGGACUUUUUUUAGUGCAAGAGUAUUGUACGAUGCUGGUAUACCUGUGUAGUGGGCUUAUAUUCGGGGGGCAUAUAUUCGGGUAGGCUUAUUAGGAAUGGUG